UGCAGUCGAGCGAACAGACGAGGAGCUUGCUCCUCUGACGUUAGCGGCGGACGGGUGAGUAACACGUGGAUAACCUACCUAUAAGACUGGGAUAACUUCGGGAAACCGGAGCUAAUACCGGAUAAUAUAUUGAACCGCAUGGUUCAAUAGUGAAAGACGGUUUUGCUGUCACUUAUAGAUGGAUCCGCGCCGCAUUAGCUAGUUGGUAAGGUAACGGCUUACCAAGGCAACGAUGCGUAGCCGACCUGAGAGGGUGAUCGGCCACACUGGAACUGAGACACGGUCCAGACUCCUACGGGAGGCAGCAGUAGGGAAUCUUCCGCAAUGGGCGAAAGCCUGACGGAGCAACGCCGCGUGAGUGAUGAAGGUCUUCGGAUCGUAAAACUCUGUUAUUAGGGAAGAACAAAUGUGUAAGUAACUAUGCACGUCUUGACGGUACCUAAUCAGAAAGCCACGGCUAACUACGUGCCAGCAGCCGCGGUAAUACGUAGGUGGCAAGCGUUAUCCGGAAUUAUUGGGCGUAAAGCGCGCGUAGGCGGUUUUUUAAGUCUGAUGUGAAAGCCCACGGCUCAACCGUGGAGGGUCAUUGGAAACUGGAAAACUUGAGUGCAGAAGAGGAAAGUGGAAUUCCAUGUGUAGCGGUGAAAUGCGCAGAGAUAUGGAGGAACACCAGUGGCGAAGGCGACUUUCUGGUCUGUAACUGACGCUGAUGUGCGAAAGCGUGGGGAUCAAACAGGAUUAGAUACCCUGGUAGUCCACGCCGUAAACGAUGAGUGCUAAGUGUUAGGGGGUUUCCGCCCCUUAGUGCUGCAGCUAACGCAUUAAGCACUCCGCCUGGGGAGUACGACCGCAAGGUUGAAACUCAAAGGAAUUGACGGGGACCCGCACAAGCGGUGGAGCAUGUGGUUUAAUUCGAAGCAACGCGAAGAACCUUACCAAAUCUUGACAUCCUCUGACCCCUCUAGAGAUAGAGUUUUCCCCUUCGGGGGACAGAGUGACAGGUGGUGCAUGGUUGUCGUCAGCUCGUGUCGUGAGAUGUUGGGUUAAGUCCCGCAACGAGCGCAACCCUUAAGCUUAGUUGCCAUCAUUAAGUUGGGCACUCUAAGUUGACUGCCGGUGACAAACCGGAGGAAGGUGGGGAUGACGUCAAAUCAUCAUGCCCCUUAUGAUUUGGGCUACACACGUGCUACAAUGGACAAUACAAAGGGCAGCGAAACCGCGAGGUCAAGCAAAUCCCAUAAAGUUGUUCUCAGUUCGGAUUGUAGUCUGCAACUCGACUAUAUGAAGCNGGAAUCGCUAGUAAUCGUAGAUCAGC
rnacentral:rRNA from 1 species